GAGAGAGAGAGAGACAUUGGUUAUAUAAGCGAGCAAAUAUCCAGAAGGAAGAAAAACGAUUCAGGACCAACGAAAUAAUUCCGGUUCCCACUUUGACUCUUUGUCCCAGCCCACCCAUGACUGUAUGACAGUGCAUAUUAUUCCAGUUUAGCUGGCUAGGAAACUGAGAAAGAAAGAAGGCAGGAGUCCACUCAGGGCACAGGCGGUGGGGACCACACGAUUCCAAGAGGCACUGACGCCUUCAUGAAGGGCUUCCGUAAAAAGUGGGAAGUACUCCGAUUGCUGGGAGCGUGUUCUAAGUCAGAAUGUUCCUGGUGGUUCAGGGCAGCUCAGAGGAUGCCUCCUCAGAGGGCUUCCCCCACCAUGUCCAGAGUAUCCCCUUUGCUCAUGGCUCCAUGCCUGCCUCACCGUUCUCAGCACUGAUCACUCCCUGUCAUCUACUACCUGCGUGUUUAUCCAUUUGGUCCUCAUCUGACCCCACUGGGGAGUGCUGAGUGCUUGGUGCUCGGUCUAUCCUCACUUCCCUCUGAAUGCUGAGGGCUUGGUGCUUGGUCCAUCCUCACUGCCCUCUGAGUGCUCAGUACUUGGUACUCAGUCUUUUCUCACUGCCCUCUGAGUGCUUGGUGCUCCAUCUGUUCUCACUGCCCUCUGAGUGCAUGGUACUUGGUCCAUCCUCACUGCUGAGUGCUGGGUGCUCGGUCUAUCCUCACUGCCCUCUAAGUGGUCAGUACUUGGUGCUUGGUCCAUCCUUACUGCCCUAUGAGUGCUCAGUGCUCAGUCUGUCCUCACUGUCCUCUGCGUGAUUGGUGCUCAGUCCAUCCUCACUGCCCUAUGAGUGUUCACUACUCAGUGUUCCAUCUGUCCUCACUGCCCUCUGAGUGCUCAGUACUGAGUGCUCCAUCUGUUCUCACUGCCCUCUGAGUGCUCGGUACUUGGUCCAUCUCACUGCCCUCUGAGUGCUCGGUACUUGGUCCAUCCUCACUACCCUCUGAGUGCUUGGUGUUUGGUCCAUCCUCACCACCCUCUGAGUGCUCAGUACUCUGUGUUCCAUCUGUCCUCAGUGCCUUUUGAGUGCUCGUACUUGGUCUGUCCUCACUGCCCUCUGAGUGCUUGGUGCUUGGUCCACCAUCACUGCCCUCUGAGUGCUCAGUACUCGGUGCUUGGUCUGUCCUCACUGCCCUGUAAGUGCUUGGUGCUUGGUUUGUCCUCACUGCCCGGAGCAGUGCAUGGCAUAAGCUCAGUGGGUACAUGCUAACUGAGUGAGUGACUGACAGAGCCUCCCCCUCCCACCCCACUGUCUUUCAGAGACCUUGGGCAACAUUACCAAAUCCUUCAGGCCUCAGCUGUGAAAUGGGUGUGACUGAAACCUCUUUCCAGGCUGUGGUUGAGACUAACUGCGUUAUCACACACAGCACGCUUGGAACAGCACGCAAUGGAUACUAACUAUUAAAAUUGUGCUUAAACCUGGUGUCGUGGACUACCCUGCUAUGUGUAAUCUUAAUGCAAGAGUACGCAGACUGAGAGCGCCACUUGAGACAAGGUCCCCCAAACGCCUGACCGAGUUGGAGAUCAGUGGUGGAAAUUUCAAAGGUAGAGGACACAGCUGCCGUCUUGGGAGUGGUGGACUCCUCCCAGAAGACAAUCAUUUAACCGGAGAAAAUGGUUUUAAACAUCAUUUAAAGUCUCUGAAAUUAUCCUAAGGGCAUACGCAGAAUGAAAAACUAUUUAUUCAGGAAAAUCCAGUAAAUCUUAGUAACAACAGUGAGAGUCUGUGGCAUUUCAGCCUCAGCCCUCCCUCCAAGCCCAUCGAGAAAAUGGAAGCUCUGCUCUCUACAGAUGUGGAAAAGAAAAUGGGGGCCCUACUCCCCCAGUGCCCAGUCUGGGGCUCUGGCCACCUGUGUUGCCCACCUCCCAGCCCCGUGUUAAAAUGUUGAAAGCCAAAUAAAGAGAAAGCCUUGAGAACAGAAAGGGCACGUGACCCAUCGCGCACAAGGAGGCCCCGGUGAGACCCACCGCGCACGAGGGGGGCCCGGUGAGACCUAUCUCACACAAGGGGAUUCUGUAGAUAAUUGUAAAAGACAGUAUAACAUAUUUCUUCUUUCUUCUCAACUUAUUUUUAAAAUGCUUACAUAAAAGAAUAUGUAUAUAAUUACAUUAUUUGUAUUAUAACAUAUAGAAACGUAAUACAUUUGAAAAUAGCAGCACAAAGAAGCCAGGUGGAACAAAGCUGUACUGGAGAGAAAGCAAUGACAUCAGAUAGUAACCAGUAUCCACCGGGGGAAGAAAAGAGAAUCAGAAAUGGUAAAUAAGGAGAUUAAUAUAACAAACUUUAUAAACAUAUACUUGCUCUCCUUUCUUCUCUCAACUUCCUUAAAAGACUUAAGAUUAUAUACAGUAGUAAUUAUAACAAUAUAUUGUUGGGUUUGUAACAUAUACAGGGACAAUAUAUUAAACAACAGCACAAAAAAGAAGUCUAUGGAAUGAAACUAUGUUGUAUGAAGUCUAUGGAAUUGAACUCAUUCCACAGGAGUAUGUUUCUGUAUUUCACUGGUAUUAGGCUAGUAUAAAUCUAAAAUAAAAUUUGAUGUUAAGAUGUACAUUGUAAGCUCCAGAGCAACCACUAAGAAAAUAAACAAUACAGUAAAAAUGUCAUUUAAGGAAUAAAAAAUAUUACAUUAUAAAAUAGCCACUUAAUAUGAAAAAGCAAUAAAAGAAAAUGGAGGAAUAAUAAGGACAUAUACAAAACAAAAAGUGGGCCAGGCGUGGUGGCUCACACCUGUAAUCCCAGCACUUUGGGAGGCCAAGGUGGGUGGAUCACGAGGUCAGGAGUUCGAAACCAGCCUGAUCAACAUGGUGAAACCUCGUCUCUACUAAAAAUACAAAAAUUAGCCAGGCGUGGUGGCGCACACCUGUAAUCCCAGCUACUCAGGAGGCUGAGGCAGGAGAAUCACUUGAAUCCAGGAGGCGGAGGUUGUAGUGAGCCGAGAUUGUGCCACUGCACUCCAGCCUGGGCAACAGAGUGAGACUCUGUCUCAAAAAAUAAAUAAAUCAAUAAAAAAGAAAACAAAAAGCAUAAUGUUAGAUAUAAACCUAAUAAUCAAUAAAAAUAAUAUUUAAAUGUGAAUCAAUUGAACAAGUCAAUCAAAAGGCAGAGAUCAUCAGACUGAAUAAAGGGAAACCAGAAACCUGCUUAUCAAGUGUGUGUCUCUGUGUGUGUCUGUAUAGUAUCUGCAAUGUACACUGACCUCCUAUAGAAAAAGUAUUCAUAUUCUGUAGAAAAUCCAGUGCAGCUUUUAAAAAUACAAAUGAGUUGAAAGUUAAAGAACAGAAAAACAUACGUCAUGCAAACAGCAACCAUGACAGAGCUGGAUAGGCUAUACUAACAUCAGAAAAAACAGACUUUAAAACAGAAAAUGUUACUAAAGACAAACACUUUGUAAUGAUAAAUGUUAACAUAACAAUUAUAAACCCAUAUGCACCUAACAGUGGCACCCCAAAAUAUAUAAAGCAAACUGGUGAAAUUGAAGGGAGAAGUAGACAAUUUAACAAUGGUUUUUACAGACUUCAAUACCCCACUUUUAAUUAUUUAUAGAAUGAAUAGGCAGAAGAUCCACACAGAAAUAAAAACUUAAAUAAACUUAGAUUUAACCAGCAUCUACAGAACACUUCACCAAAAACAGCAGAAUACAUAUUCUCAAGUACACAUAAAACGUUCUCCACGACUGACAAUAUGGUGCAUACACCAUAAAAUAAACUCGAAUACCUUUAAAUAGGAUUGAAAUCAUAAAGUAUAUUGUCUGAGCACAAUAGACUUAAAUUAAAAAUCAGUAAUAGGAAGAAACUUGGGAAAUUCACAAAUAUGUGAAAAUUAAACAAUACACUCCUAAAUAACUAAUGGAUGAAAGAAGAAAUUACAAGGGAAAUUAGAAAAAAACUUGAGAAGGAUGAAAAUAAAAGCACAUCAUGCCAAUAUUUAUAGACUGCAGCUAAAGCAGUGCCCAGAGGAAAAGUUAUAGCUAUACAUGCUUAUAUUAAAAAAGACACUCUCAAAUCAAUAACCUUUCUACCUUAAGACACUAGAAAAAUUUCUCACAACAAAAGAUAAGUGUGUGAUGUGAUGGAUAUGUUAAUUAGCUUGAUAUAACCAUUUAACAAGGUAUACAUGUAUCAAACAUCACACAGUAAAUAUAUGUAAUUUUUGUCAACUAUAUGUUAAUAAAAAUUUUUUAAAUAAUUAAAAUAAUUAAAUAAUUAAAAAGAGAAAGGAGAUAGAGAAGAGCAAACUAAAAACCAGCAGAAGAAAGGAAAUAAUCAAGAUUAGAGCAGAAAUAACUGACACAGAGAAUAGAAAAACAAUAGAGAAAUCAACAAGACCAAUGGUUAGUUCUUUGAAAAGACUGACAAAACGACAAUCCUUUAGAAAGACUACGAAAGAAAGAGAGGGACUAAAUUACCAAAGUUAGAAAUGGAAGGGAGGACAUCUUAUAAAAUAAUGACCUUAUAAAAGUAAAAAAGGAUUAUAAGUGAAUAAUAUCAACAAUUAUGAGCCAACAAAGUUAAAUACAAUUCCUAGAAAAACAUAAACUACCCAAACCAACUCAAAAGGAAAUAUAUCUAAAACAAUUAGAGAUUAAAUAAUGUUAAAACUUCCUUGUGGCUGAGUGUGGUGGCUCAUGCCUGUAAUCCCAGCACGUUGGGAGGCCAAGGCAUGACGAUCCCUUGAGGCCAGUAGUUUGAGACCAGCCUGGACAACACAGUGACAACACCUCUACAGAAAAUAAAAAUGAAAAAAAUUAACCAAGCGUGGUGGCAUGUGCACCUGUAGUCUUAGCUACUUGGGAGACUGUGGCAGGAGGACUAUUUGAUCCCAGGAGUUUGAGAUUACAGUGGCCUAAGAUUGUGCCACUGUACUCCAUCCUGGGUGACAGAGCAAGAUUCUGUCUCAGAAAAAUAAAAAUAAAUAAAUAAAUUCCUUGCUAUGGUCUGAAUGUUUGUAUCCACCCCCCAUUUAUAUGUUGAAACUCAAUCAGCAAAAGGUGAUGUUAUUAGGAGGUGGGGCCUUUGGAGAGUGACUAGGUCAUGAGGGCCCUGUGAAAAUGAAUAGGAUUAAUGCUUUUAUAAAAGAGGCCCCCAAGAACUGCCUUCCCUUCUGCUACGUUGAGGAUGCAGUGAGAAGACACCAUAUCUAUGAAGCAGAGAACGAAGCUUUUCUAGAUACUAAAUCUGGUGGUGACGUGAUCUUGGACUGUCCAGCCUCCAGAACUGUGACCAAUAAAUUCUGCUGUUUAUAAAGCACCCAGUCUGAGGUAUUUUGAUAUCACAGUCCAAACAGACUACCCUUGAAAACCCAAGCCAGACAGCUUCACUAGCAAAUUCUAUCAGACAUUUAAAAAGGCAGGGCACAGUGGCUCACACCUGUAAUCCCAGAACUUUGGGAGGCUGAGGUGGGAGGAUCACUUGAGCCCAGGAGUUUCAGACCAGCCUUGGCAACAUAGUGAGACCGUGUCUCUAUAAAAAAAUUUUUUUAAAAAAUAGCCAGGUGUAGUGGUGCACACCUGUGGUCCCAGCAGCUCAGGAUGCUGAGGUGGAAGGAUUGCUUGAGCCCAGGAAUUCAAGGCUGCAGUGAGCCAUGAUUGUACCACUGUACUCCAACCUGGGCAACAGAGGAGAUCCGCUCUCAAUAAAUAAAUAAAUAAAUAAAUAAAUAAAACAUCAAUACUAAUCAAUACCAAUACUGUCAAUACCAAUCCUACCAAAAAAACAGAAGAGGGUUUAACACUUCCCAACUCAUUUUAUAGAACAGUAUGACGAGAGAUAAAACAGGCAAAGAUAUCAAAAGAAAACUACAGACUAAUAUUCCUUAUGAAUAUAGACACAAACACUAGCAAACAACUUAAAACAAUGCAUAAAUGGAAUUACACACCAUGAGUAAAUGGAAUUUAUCCUAGGAAUUCAAGGGUGGUUUGGCAACAAUCAAUGUAAUAGACACCAUAUGAAUAAAGUACAAAAACCAUGUGGCUUCCCAAUAGACGCAGGAAAGAAAUUUGAGGAAACUCAACACCCUUUCAUAAUAAAAGGAUGCUCAACAAACUAGAAAUCGAAGGAAACCUCCUCAGCCUGAUGCUUAUGUUUAUGGUCAAUUGAUUUUCAACAAGAAUACUAUAACAACUCAAAAGGGAAAGAAUAGUCUUCUAUUUUUUAAUUUAAAAAUUUUUGUUUUUUCCAGGUUUAUUGAGGUAUCAAUGAUAAAAAUUGUAUAUAUUUAGGUUAUACAAUAGGAUGUUUUCAUAUAUGUGUAGAUUGUGAAAUAAUUACCACAAUAAAGCUAAUCAGCACAUCUAUCACCUCACAGAAUUACCAUUUUGUGUGCAUGAAGAACAGUCAUUUAAAUAAAUGAUGCUGGAACAAGUGGACUUCAUGCAAAAACAUGAAGUUGAACCCCUUUCUUGCACUACACUAACACAAAGACUAACUCAAAAUGGACCACAGACCUUAGUGUCAUAACUGAAACUAUAAAACUGUCUGAAGAAAACACAGGUAUAAGUCUUCAUGACCUUGGAUCAGACCAUGGUCUCUUAGAUAUGAACCAAAAGCACUAGUAAUGGAAGAAAAAAGUAGAUAAAUUGGCUACAUUAAAAUUAAAACUUUUUUGUUGCAAAUGAUACCACUAAUAAAGAAGACAACAUACAGAAUGGGAGAAAAUAUUUGCAAAUCAUAUAUCUAAUCUAACGAGGGACUAAUAUCCAAAAUAAAUAAAUAACUUUUACAACUCAAUAAUAAAAAACCCAACUGCAGAUUAGUGAAGGAUUUGAAUAGACAUGGUUUUAAAGAAGUCAUGCAAAUGGCCAAUGAGCGCACGCAAAGAUGUUCAACUUCAUUAUCCACCAAGAAAAUGCAAAUCGAAACCACAAUGAGACAUCAGCUCAAACCUGUGAGGAUGGCUAGAUGAGAAAGAUAGAUGAUGUAAAGAUUGGAGAGGAUGUGAAGAUAUCGGAACCACUGAGAUGAGGAACCAAGGAAAUGCAUACUUUCCUGAUAAGGAUGUGAGAUGGUGCAACCAUGUGGAACACAGUCCAGCAAUUUCCCAAAAAGGUGAACACAGAGUCACCACACGAACCUGCAGUUCUACUCCUAGGCACAGACCCAAGAGAAACAAAAACACAUUCACGCCAAAGCUUGUACGUGAUUGCUCACAGCACAGUCUGUAUCAGUCCUUUCUUGAACUGCUAUAAAGAACUACCUAAGACUGGGUAAUUUCUAAAGAAAAGAUGUUCAAUUGGCUCACAGUUCUGCAGGCUGUACAGGAAGCAUGGCUGGGGAGGUCUCAGGAAAGUCACAAUCCUGGCAGAAGGUAAAGGGGAAGCAGGCACGUCUUGCAUGGCUGGAGCAGGAGGAAGAGAGUAAAGGGGGAGGCGCUACACACUUUUUUUUUUAUAUUUUUUAUUUUUAUUUUUAUUUUUAUUUUGUUUGAGACAGUCUCGCUCUGUCACCCAGGCCGGACUGCAGUGGCACGAUCUCGGCUCACUGCAAGCUCUGCCUCCCGGGUUCACGCCAUUCUCCUGCCUCAGCCUCCAGAGUAGCUGGGACUACAGGUGCCCGCCACCAUGCCUGGCUAAUUUUUUGUAUUUUUAGUAGAGACGGGGUUUCACCGUGUUAGCCAGGAUGGUCUUGAUCUCCUGACCUCGUGAUCCGCUUGCCUCGGCCACCCAAAGUCCUGGGAUUACAGGCGUGAGCCACUGCACCCGGCCUACACACUUUUAAACACUCAGGCUUCCUGAGAACUCACUGCCACAAGAACAGCGAGGUGGAUUCCACGCCCAUGAUCCAAUCACUCCCACCAGCUCCCUCCUCCAACAUCGGAGAUUACAAUUCUACAUGAGAUUUGGGUGGGGACACGAAUCCGAACCAUAUCAGAGUCAUUCACAAUCACCCAAAAGCAGAAACAACCCAAAUGCUUCCUAUCCGAUGAAUAGAUAAAUAAAGCAUGAUCUACUCAAACAAUGGAAUAGUAGCCACAAAAAGGAAAGCAGUGGUUUAUGCUGCAGCAGGAAUAAACCCUGAAACCACGACGCUGAGUUAAAGAAGCCGGACAAAGGAGGCCAGGUAGUGUCGUGCCUGUCUACAGGACACGUCCACAGAAGUGGACAAAUCUAC
rnacentral:lncRNA from 1 species